GUAUGGUCAAAUAAUGCCCCCACCGCUGCCACAAUCCGCACGGCAGGGCGGGUUGCAGGAGGCCUUCAUCCAGCAGUGGAUAGAGAACGGGGCUGUAUACAAAGUUACAUUGCCGUGAAUUGAACUUUCAAAAUAUGACGCUGAUCGUUUUCAAUCGAGACAUUCAAAUAUCACGCGGAGCUCUGUGUGUGGAACUUAAACGGAGAUAUUUAACAGGCGACGUUUCGGGCAACAGUCCUUAUUACCAGCACGUAGAGAGGCCAGUAGAGACAUAGACACUCAUUGUGGAACACCUUUAAUCUAUUACAGUUGUUAAUUAGCGCUGCAUUAGGUAGGUGAAGGCAGAGGCGCAGCCCUGCAAGAGCUGCCUCAAGCUUCUGUAUACAGAAGGGGCCUCCACUAAAGGAGAGCUCUAGUUAGAGGGUAUUUGGCCUACUUCUCCUAUUGCAAUAUGUAUAUAUAACGACAAAGGUCCCCGGCAUAUCCGAAAGAGACUGUAGGGGCAAGUGCUGUUAGCGAGUAGCACGUAUGAAGGCCGGCAUGGCACACGAGGGGGUGGGUGGCCAGCACCACGCCCGGCCGCCUUUGUCUCCCCAGUGGCGAUGUUUACCACACACCGCACCGGGUGCUCACUUGAGGCCGAGUCGACCUAGGGGAGGCCCAGAAACGGUUCAGACAAUCGUCACCGUUGAUGGUGGCCGUGAGCCUGAAUCGAACUCGGGUGGCUGUGGUUUGUAGCGCAGUGCGCUAACCACUGCGCCACCGCUCCCACGGGGGCUCGUCACCGCCGCAGCCCAACACGCCGACUGAGCUCAUCUCGUGUGAGAGUCUCAAGCCAAGCAACAACAGCAACAACAACAGCAACAACAACAACAGCAGCAACAACAACAGCAGCAGCAACAGGUGCUAUAGGCUGUGGCCGUCAGCCGCGGUGCGGGGCGGCUGUUGUGCUGUACUCACGCCAAUCGUCUAUGCUGCCCGGCCUUCACCAACCCGCGUACUGACCAGCGUGGUGAAGUAUGGUCGAACAACCGUCACCGUCCGCAUAGGUGCGGUGGUGGUGGUGGUGGGGGGCCUCCUCAUCCAGCAGCCCCAACAACGACAACAACAACGACAACUCCACUAAACUGACGACUGCCAACGGUCGGCAGAGUGGUGGGUGGACGGAAAGUUCCUAUACCCGUCCAAGUUCUAUUAGCAGCGGUUUCCUUUGGGAUUGGGGUAUAGGGACUUCCCGCCCAUCGUGACAGUAUGUGAGUUGUCGGCCAGGGGGUUAGUGGAUCACGCCCACAUCGUGCACAUUGCAACGGCGCUGCGAGGUGGUCAGCAUGUGGCAGCACAGCAAGUAGGCUGCUGAUAUACUCGGCAUCGUUGGUUUACACUGUGUGCGUGGCCUGGGUUGUAGUUCCACAUUAGAACCAUCUUCAGUAAAACAGGCAUAGACUGUACAGUCAUCAUGAUGGAGCUAUUCCCUGUCCACUGCUGCUUGAUGAAGGGUUGUCCACCCCGUGUGCCAGUUGUUGUCGUUUCGCUCUUGGUCAUACUUCACCAAGCUGGCCAGCGCGAGUUGGUGCUGGUGUGGAGAGGCGUGGCGCCACUGAGUGGGUGGGCCCGCGAGUCGUCCGUCACACCGAGUGCACCCCCACCCACCCAGCCCCCCCAAAGUGGAACGCGCUGUCGGCAACAUUCAUGUCAGAUAGCAGCAAGCGUGCUCCUGCCGUGCGGCCUCCGACCUCUGCUUCUCAUUCCGCGCGACAAGGGAGUCCACACGAGUCCGUCCGGUAUGACGGGAAGGGCUCGUGAUGCAAUGGAGACGUGUCGUUUUGGCAGUCCGCUCAGUCGGCCCCCUGCGAUGCCGAGUGGAGAAACGCCGCGUCAACCCCUCCACCCCGGCAACGCACCACGGCAGGCAGAUAUCCAGGAAGUGACCAGAGCAACACCUGCGGGCAUGUCCUCACCCGCAGCGCCGUGAGCGAGCCGCUCUCCUGCCCGAGAUCCCGCAGGCGAUUGGCCGCCGCCUGGAGCUCGCCGACCUCCCGCGUGUAACGAGCGAUGCUCUCAUCGACGCGGACCAGCAGCUUGUGCCCCGCCAAGUGCGCACGACGCAAC